rnacentral:RNase_P_RNA from 1 species
GGAGCGGGCCGGACGAUCGCUGUUCUUAGAUGAAGAGAGGAAAGUCCGAACACCAUAGGGCAGCGAGCCGGAUAACAUCCGGGCACCGGUUAAGUUCGGUGACGACAAGUGCAACAGAAAGCAAACCUGCCUUGUAAAAGGUAAAGGGUGAAAUGGUGAGGUAAGAGCUCACCGGCGAAGGCGGCAACGUGUUCGGCCAGGUAAACUCCUCGUGGUGCAAGACCAAAUAGGGAAACACUUUUUGAGCGGCCCGCUCAAAGUGCUGUGAAAGCAGCACGGUGGUUCCGGGUAGGUCGCUCGAGCCGACGGGUAACCGUCGGCCUAGAUGAAUGAUCGUCGCCCGCAAUUUGCGGGAACAAAAUUCGGCUUAUCGGCCUGUCCCCUUG